rnacentral:sRNA from 1 species
UUGCGCCUGCGGCAGAUCCGGCACGGUACUUAUCAGGGCUUCGCAGGCAGCCGUACCGUGUACGAUCCAGUAUAUCCAAGAAUUUUCUUGGAUUUAACGAUUUCU